GGAGAGGGAGCCUGAAAAAUGGGUACCACAUCCAAGGAAGGCAGCAGGCCGCGUAAAUUACCCAAUUCUGAUACAGGGAGGUAGUGACAAUAAAUAACAAUGCCGGGCCAUCAUUGGUCUGGCAAUUGGAAUGAGAACAAUUUAAAUCCCUUAUCGAGGAUCAAUUGGAGGGCAAGUCUGGUGCCAGCAGCCGCGGUAAUUCCAGCUCCAAUAGCGUAUAUUAAAGUUGUUGCAGCUAAAAAGCUUGUAGUUGGAUUUGUGGCCGUACCGCGCGUUCCGGCCACUUGUUGCUGAGUAAACCUGCCCGUGCCACUC
rnacentral:rRNA from 1 species